UCGCACCUACCGAUUGAGUGAUCCGGUGAAUAAUUCGGACUGAAGCAGUGUUCAGUUCCUGAACGUUGCAGCGGAAAGUUUCGUGAACCUUAUCACUUAGAGGAAGGAG
rnacentral:rRNA from 1 species